GCUUUCUCUCUCUGUUUACACAGCCGAAUUUUGACCUGUUUGGCCGCCCAGAAAAUCUCUCGAGAUAAUGCAAGACAAAAUGGAUCGGAUGAGGGAAUGCUCUACCAAGGAAUCUUGCGAGUAUGUUGCAAGAAAGCUCGUCUCUGAUGAUAUACUUCCUCAUAUUCUCAACUUAUAUGGAUCUUGUGCAACACCUCGUGACUUUGAAAUCUACGCCCCAAAUGCUUCCUUUGAAGAUCCUCUCAUGUGUGCUCAAGGGUAUGUGUU
rnacentral:misc_RNA from 1 species